rnacentral:lncRNA from 1 species
UCUCAACAUGUGUUAGAGAAGAUGGAUAGAACUCCUCAAGGACUACAAUUGCAACAUCUUGUAUCACUCGGGUAAGGGCAACGUGGUAGUCGAUGUACUCAAUAGAAAAAGUGCAGGUAUAUUACCUCACCUGAUAGUUUCAGAAUGCAAGGUAAUAGGGGCUGCACAAUAGGUACAACUUCAGAAUCUAAAGAGAGUUACAUGUUUGGCCCACCUGGCUGUUCAACUUUAGUUGAUCUAGAGAAUAAAAGAAGCUUAAUCCACCGAUUCCACCCUAGCAGCCCUCAAGAAAGAUGCAGAACAGGGAAUAAAUUCAGAAUUUCAAGUC